AGGUGCGAUCAUACCAGCACCAAUGCACCGGAUCCCAUCAGAAUUCCGCAGUGAAGCGUGCUUGGACGAGAGUGUACUAGGAUGGCUGACCUCCUGGGAAGUGCUCGUGUUGCACUUA
rnacentral:rRNA from 1 species